GCCUUUUUAGUUUAUAAAAAAUUUAAUCUUGAUAGGAUUGAGAAUUUGAGGGUU
rnacentral:tRNA from 1 species